rnacentral:rRNA from 1 species
GAUGAACGCUGGCGGCGUGCCUAAUACAUGCAAGUCGAGCGAACAGACGAGGAGCUUGCUCCUCUGACGUUAGCGGCGGACGGGUGAGUAACACGUGGAUAACCUACCUAUAAGACUGGGAUAACUUCGGGAAACCGGAGCUAAUACCGGAUAAUAUAUUGAACCGCAUGGUUCAAUAGUGAAAGACGGUUUUGCUGUCACUAAUAGAUGGAUCCGCGCCGCAUUAGCUAGUUGGUAAGGUAACGGCUUACCAAGGCAACGAUGCGUAGCCGACCUGAGAGGGUGAUCGGCCACACUGGAACUGAGACACGGUCCAGACUCCUACGGGAGGCAGCAGUAGGGAAUCUUCCGCAAUGGGCGAAAGCCUGACGGAGCAACGCCGCGUGAGUGAUGAAGGUCUUCGGAUCGUAAAACUCUGUUAUUAGGGAAGAACAAAUGUGUAAGUAACUAUGCACGUCUUGACGGUACCUAAUCAGAAAGCCACGGCUAACUACGUG